rnacentral:rRNA from 1 species
GACGAACGCUGGCGGCGUGCUUAACACAUGCCAGUCGAACGGAAAGGCCUCUUUCGGGGGGUACUCGAGUGGCGAACGGGUGAGUAACACGUGAGUAACCUGCCCUUGACUUUGGGAUAACUUCAGGAAACUGGGGCUAAUACCGGAUAGGAGCUCCUGCUGCAUGGUGGGGGUUGGAAAGUUUCGGCGGUUGGGGAUGGACUCGCGGCUUAUCAGCUUGUUGGUGGGGUAGUGGCUUACCAAGGCUUUGACGGGUAGCCGGCCCGAGAGGGUGACCGGCCACAUUGGGACUGAGAUACGGCCCAGACUCCUACGGGAGGCAGCAGUGGGGAAUAUUGCACAAUGGGUGGAAGCCUGAUGCAGCAACGCCGUGUGCGGGAUGACGGCCUUCGGGUUGGAAACCGCCUUCGCUCAUGACGAAGCUUUGUGUGACGGUAGUGGGUAAAGAAGCACCGGCUAACUACGUG